AUUGAACGCUGGCGGCAGGCCUAACACAUGCAAGUCGAACGGUAACAGGAAGCAGCUUGCUGCUUCGCUGACGAGUGGCGGACGGGUGAGUAAUGUCUGGGAAGCUGCCUGAUGGAGGGGGAUAACUACUGGAAACGGUAGCUAAUACCGCAUAAUGUCGCAAGACCAAAGAGGGGGACCUUCGGGCCUCUUGCCAUCGGAUGUGCCCAGAUGGGAUUAGCUUGUUGGUGGGGUAACGGCUCACCAAGGCGACGAUCCCUAGCUGGUCUGAGAGGAUGACCAGCCACACGGGAACUGAGACACGGUCCAGACUCCUACGGGAGGCAGCAGUGGGGAAUAUUGCACAAUGGGCGCAAGCCUGAUGCAGCCAUGCCGCGUGUAUGAAGAAGGCCUUCGGGUUGUAAAGUACUUUCAGCGGGGAGGAAGGGAGUAAAGUUAAUACCUUUGCUCAUUGACGUUACCCGCAGAAGAAGCACCGGCUAACUCCGUG
rnacentral:rRNA from 1 species